rnacentral:rRNA from 1 species
GACGAACGCUGGCGGCGUGCUUGACACAUGCAAGUCGAACGGAAAGGCCUGCUUUCCCUUGUGGAUUGCGGGUACUCGAGUGGCGAACGGGUGAGUAACACGUGAGUGAUCUGCCCCCAACUUGGGUAUAAGCCUGGGAAACUGGGUCUAAUUCCCGAUAGGACUGCAGGGUGGUGCCUGUGGUGGAAAACGAUUUUCUAGUGGUUGGGGAUGAGCUCGCGGCCUAUCAGCUUGUUGGUGGGGUAAUGGCCUACCAAGGCGGCGACGGGUAGCCGGCCUGGGAGGGUGGACGGCCACAUUGGGACUGAGAUACGGCCCAGACUCCUACGGGAGGCAGCAGUGGGGAAUAUUGCACAAUGGGCGGAAGCCUGAUGCAGCGACGCCGCGUGGGGGAUGACGGCCUUCGGGUUGUAAACUCCUUUCGACCGCGAGGAAGCCACCUGGUUGGAAGGGUGGUGACGGUAGUGGUAGAAGAAGCACCGGCUAACUACGU